rnacentral:rRNA from 1 species
AGAGUUUGAUCCUGGCUCAGAACGAACGCUGGCGGCAGGCCUAACACAUGCAAGUCGAACGCCGUAGCAAUACGGAGUGGCAGACGGGUGAGUAACGCGUGGGAACAUACCCCUCGGUUCGGAAUAACUCAGGGAAACUUGAGCUAAUACCGGAUACGUCCGAGGUUUUCAUCGACCUUGGAGAAAGAUUUAUCGCCGGAGGAUUGGCCCGCGUCUGAUUAGCUUGUUGGUGAGGUAAUGGCUUACCAAGGCGACGAUCAGUAGCUGGUCUGAGAGGAUGAUCAGCCACAUUGGGACUGAGACACGGCCCAAACUCCUACGGGAGGCAGCAGUGGGGAAUAUUGGACAAUGGGCGAAAGCCUGAUCCAGCCAUGCCGCGUGAGUGAUGAAGGCCUUAGGGUUGUAAAGCUCUUUUACCCGGGAAGAUAAUGACGGUACCG